rnacentral:misc_RNA from 1 species
GAUGAAGAACGUAGCGAAAUGCGAUAAGUAGUGUGAAUUGCAGAAUUCCGUGAACCAUCAAAUCUUUGAACGCAUAUUGCGCUCGAGGCUUCGGCCGAGAGCAUGUCUGCCUCAGCGUCGGUAUUACCCCUCGCUUCUCAACCCCUGGUUGAUGCCUGCCUGCCUUUGCAGUUGGCUAGAAGCGGAUCUGGCUUUCCCAAUUGCCUUUGGUAGUUGGGUCAGCUGAAGCACAGAGGCUUGAGCAAGGACCCUUAUUGGGCUUCAACUGGAUAGGUAGAACUGGUCUUAGGACCAACUACACGAAGUUGUUGCUUGUGGUCUUUGUCUGGAGGCCAGCAGGAAACCUUUAUACCUUCGACCUGAGCUCAGGCAAGAUUACCCGCUGAACUUAAGCAUAUCAUAAGCGGAGGA